CGGGAUGCUCCUUCAACAACAACAGGUUGUUCGACACCUCGGUAGCUUUCCAGCAAACAUAGCUACAACAUUCACAACCUUUACACUGUUUUCGGUGUAUAUUAGUCGCUGUGUAUUAAACAAACUUCUGUCGUAUGUACUUGUUGGCCCAUUUAAUUAUAUAUUUACGUUGUUUGUCAGCUAGCUGGUUUGCUAAGUUUGCUUAGAACGAGGCUAGUUGCUAAUCCUAGCUAACAUCUCCGACCAUGAGUUCACUCUCCCGUUAAAGAAGAGGUGGUCUGCUGGACGGAGAAAGAAGCUCUCGCAAAAGGAGGAGGAGGAAGAGGAGGAUGUUACAAUACAAAAACAAAUAGAGGGUGAAGCUGUUACCGUGAAAGAAGAAGAGAAAGACGCGUUCAGAGUGAAAGAGGAGGAGGAUGUUACAGUAAAAGGAGAGGAGGCAGUGAAACAGGAGGAUGCAGUGUUUGGAGUGAAAGAGGAGGGGGAGAAUACUGUCACAUUGAAAGAAUAGGAGGAUGUUGGAGAUCUGUUUCACACCACCUUCCUCUCCUAUGAAGACCCAGUGAGGGUGGAGCUCAGUCAGAGAGCUGUUGAGGGACUGGUUAUGAAGAACACUUCUACAGCCAGAGAGGGGCAGUCAAGAAACAGAACAUCAAGGCCACAGAAUAUGACAUAAUCAGAGCUGUGGGAGACCACCUCAAGCCCCUGGUACAGCCGGGGGUGGUGUUUACCACUCCACCAUGCCUUCAGCAGGCUGGAAAAGUGAUACUGUUUUUCUGUCGGUUUCUGAGUCUGUUGAUUGUUCAUUGGGUUAAUUUGUUCAAAUCAAGCUUUAUUUAUACAGCACAUUUCAGACAGGAAAAAACAAAUAAAAAACUAUGAAAAUAAAUAUUUAGUACACAAACAUGAGGAUAAAAAAUAGAAGACUGACAAAUGAAUGACUAAUGAGGAAAUGCAAUUGAUUAAAAUAUUAAUUGGAUACAAUAUCCAACCCCCAAAUAUAAGGGGUUCUGAAAGACACUCACAGUGUCCAAUGAAAGUUGACUAGUAACAACAACUGGGACCUAAAAGACACCCACAACGAGACUCACUAAAUCUGUCCAAGAAGAGGCAAACACACACCAAACUUAGACAGGACACAAACCAAAAAGGUGGUUAAAAUAAAGGUGUUGACUAUCCUCAUCUAUCAAGACAACUGGAGCACUGGGCCAGACACUCUUAAAUAGAACCUGGACCAGCUCAGGUGAAACACCUUCCCACUAAUGAGCUGGACAAGCCAGGACAGGUGUAACACAUACUGACUAACGAGGUGACACCAAUCAGUGCACCAAAGACACAUUUCAUUUGAUUGCAUUCAAAUGAAUGACUCGGUAUCCCCCUUUCCUAUGCUCUAACAUCCAACCUCAAAAUAUAAAAGGAAAAACCAAAGCCUGUAACACUUCCCCUUUAAGACAACCAACAUAUCCUAUAUUUUUGUUGGACAAGUUUGCUCACCACCAACAAAAAACAACUUCCAUUUCUCAUUAUAAUCAACUACAAAGCUUCACCUUCUACAAUAUAAACAUAGUGUCAACUGGCUGUCAACAAUUAAAAACAAGAAAAAAACACGUAUUUCUAAAUAAUAAUAUACAAUCAUAUAAUUUUUUAUCCUUUUUCUUUCCAUAGAAUCCUAAAACUCACUAGCUUCUAGAACUCUCGUCUUCCUAAAACUCACUAGCUUCUAGCCCAAACUAAACUCAAAUCAAAUUGUAUUAGUCACAUGCGCCGGAUACAACACUGGAACUCCUACUUACGAGCUCCUAACCAACAGUGCAGUUUCCAAAAAAUACAGAAAAGAAUAAGAGAUAAAACUCAUCUCCAACACGGAAAAGCGUGUCAAAAUAAAUUGUGAUCCAUGGUAACACACUAGUUAAAUGCACAACACAAAUAUUUUUGACUGCCAACCCUUGAGACAAUCAGCAACCAAGUUGUCCUUACCACGGACAUGUCUGAUUUCAAGAGGAAACUCCUGCGAUAUCCGUAGUAACUUUCCACCUCACUGCAGAGCUUCUCUCUCUUUUCAGGACUCACUCAAUAGGCAUGUUGUUGGAUCGGAGUCCAGUCCCCAAUGUUCAUCUAGUAGAUUUGGGUUGGCACAUCUGAGAAUUAACCCUGACAUUAUGAAAGCAGGGUAACAAUGUCAAUAUAAUUGUACCCAAAAAUUGUCAGUUGGUUGCAUAAAUAAUUAUUACUAAAUGUUACAUGAAUUGUAAAUAUGAAAUAUCAAAACCAAAUGUACACCCCUUUGUUAAUAUGUAGUGGCAAUAAUUAACUUAAUGGUGAGGCAUGGAAUAAUAAAAUAUGUAUCUUAUGAGGUGA